CUUAUUUCACACCUUUCCUUGCAGGCUCUUGGUGAGCUGGGUGCUGACAUCAUCUGAUGUCGCCGGCCACUGUCAGGGCAGAAGAGGGGUUCUUUAUUCAGUACAUCGCUACCAAACAGCAACCUGAAAACGCUGCUUUUCGGCGCUGUUGCGGCUGCUGCCCUUGACGUCCCUUCUCAUCCGCUCUGGAGGCCAGCGUCCCUGCCGCCUCCUUUUCUCUCCCGAGUCAAGGCCCAGGCUGCUCUGACUGGGUCUAGAAGUUUUGAACCUGCGGUCUUCGUAAGAGAAUCGAACCUUCUAUCAGCAGGCUGUGACCCUGUCUACCUCAGAUGAUGAUGCUCUUCACUGUAAAGACUAUUUUGCCAGGUACAGUGGCACCUCGGUUCGCAAACUUAAUUUGUUCCACGAUUCUGGAAAAGAUGGCCACUGUCGUGUUUGUCUUCGGAUGCAGUUUGCAAACAAAAACAAAAUUUUGCCAAACUUUUGUUUUCGAAACAAGUUGUUCCCAAACAAAACACUUACUUUCUUUGGGUAGUGUUUGCCCAAUAAGUAAAAAAUAUUUUCUUACUUUCAA